rnacentral:rRNA from 1 species
CUACGGGCCGCAGCAGUGAGGAAUAUUGCACAAUGGGGGGAACCCUGAUGCAGCAACGCCGCGUGGAGGAUGACGCAUUUCGGUGUGUAAACUCCUUUUAUAUGUCAAGAAAAUGACGGUAGCAUAUGAAUAAGCACCGGCUAACUCCGUGCCAGCAGCCGUCGGUAAUACGGAGGGUGCAAGCGUUACUCGGAAUCACUGGGCGUAAAGGACGCGUAGGCGGGUUGGAAAGUCAGGUGUGAAAUCCUACAGCUUAACUGUAGAACUGCACUUGAAACUUCUAAUCUAGAGUAUGGGAGGGGGAGAUGGAAUUAGCGGUGUAGGGGUAAAAUCCGUAGAUAGCACGAGGAAUACCUAAAGCGAAGGCGAUCUCCUGGAACAUUACUGACGCUAAGGCGUGAAAGCGUGGGGAACAAACAGGAUUAGAUACCCGGGUAGUC